UGUUAGUUCUUAUACUUUCCUGAAGUAUCCAGAUAGGAGGGUACAAGGAUGUACCCGACAGCGAAGCCGCGACAGGACGGCGCGUCUGAGCGGUAUCGUCCGUGUACAAUAUCUAUAUGGAAAGUAUUAGAAAUAACCA
rnacentral:ncRNA from 1 species